UGUACCUUGCUUAUACGAUUCUUCGGUGGCUUUUCAGUUACCGCCUCUUUCUUGGUUUCUUGCGCUCGUUGACGCAGAGCGCGAGCGUGGGCAGCCUUCGCCUUACGCUUUUGUAUCCGUUCUUUAAGGGUUGAACGGGCCUUUUUGACGAGAGUCCAUUCCUCCGUCGUAAGCUUUGCAGAAAUAUGAUUAUCUUGCCAUUGAGGCAACUGGAUCAUUUUCUGUUUUCUCGACUUUAGGUCCGCAUAGUAAUGGACCCCGUCGGUUUGUUGCAUGGCCUUAGCCAAUUGUCGAGCACGGCGCUGACGCUGUCUCAGACAACAGCCUCUGGCCCUCGGCGCUUUCAGGCUUUAAAAAUUUAUAAGGCCCAACAUAAAUUAAGCAAUCAGAUUUAAUCUGUUUCUGCAAUCAUAUCCAAACAUUGGGAUGUCCGUUCUCUUGUUCAGAGCAUUACUAAUUAAUAUUCUCAUCCCAAAUAUAUUAUGUUAUAAACUAAUAGCAGUUUAUUUGAUUUACUGUUUGUGUGAAUUUUUCGCAAGGACUUUUCUUCCCCUUAUGUCUAGGGCCUAUUUGAUUCAUUUCCAUGUAAUAUGGGAAUAGGAUUCCAAUGAAAAAAACAUUUUUGAGUUUUUCAUGCAUUUCUUGGGAAAGCUAUUUUUUUGCUUUGCUUCGCACAUCAAAAGGAAAGGGAAAACCUACCGCAUCACCAAUCCAUGCUUUGGUUCAAAACUUAAAAUUAGGAAUUGAGCAUAUUAAGAAAAGACGUGUUAAAAUUUUACACUUGUUUCCCUAAAAACCAUCAACCUCUUUUUUUAAUAUUUUUAAUGCGUUUUCCUAGCGAUUCCGCCUUAAAACUCGGAAUUGGCUUUUCCACCAAAAUUGACGUUUUAUGAUGUUUCUAAAAAGUUUUCCCAAUUGUUUUAUUAUGAACCAAACUGAGGAAUAAGAAUUCAUUUGGCUAUUUUGAUACAGGACAACUGUGUCAGUAGUUUUCCAUGUGUUUUCCACCCAAAUUUUGAGCCAAACUGGCCCUUACAGAAAACCAAUUUAUUUCUUCUGCUUCACUAAAUAUGCAGCUUUGCUUCACCAUUGCCUACAUCUCUCAUAAGAUCUAUUGUCUUGAUCUAUAAAAUUUUAUCCUCAAACAUAAAUUUCCUGUUAUUCUAUUGCGCCUAUUCAUUAAUAAUGACACGACAUAACUUGGAUUCACCCAAAUCCAGACUUCACAAAUGAUUUAUUUUCUUUCAACGUCAUCCUAUCUUUAGAAUGAAUGAAAUGUAAAUAGCUGUAUCUAUGAUACUGUUUUUAAGUUGUAUCAUUGCCUUCAAAAAGUUACCAGAGUGUUUCCACUUUCUAGUCUGCAAGAGUUGCCAAGGAACACCACACACUAUCACUGUUAUAUAUAGCGGCAAAUAGCCCCACAAUAGCGGCGCUAAUAGUGUUAGAUGUCCCUUCCCGCUACGCUAUUACCUAAUAGCGGUGACAUAUUGCGAAAUAUGCGCUUUCCGCUCACAAAAGCAGCCGACAACGCGCCAUAACGGUAAAUAGCGGACGAUUGCGUGCAAUAUUUGCUUUUUAACCGCUACUUAAAAGCGGUUUGAGAUUUUUUUUUAAAUUAAACCCGACCCUCAACCAUUGCAUCCCACCGCCUCCCGCGAUUUUCGGCAGACUCCCGCCGCCUCCCAUAACCUUUGACACCUACCUCAACACUUCCUCUCACCUCCUUCGCCGUGAGCUCCUCCUAGUGUAGUCCUCUCAUCGCUCAGCUCAUCUUCUCGAAGACGAGGACUCUUUGACUCCUCCAGUUGUCAUCGGUAUUAUACGACGGUUAUAUGUUUAUUUCAUAUUUAGGAUCUCUUUAAAUCAUAAAAUGUGCAUUUUUAGAUUUUCUAGAUUUUUCUAAUCUUUUUUUUUUAUAUUUAUACAUAUCUAAAUUAGACCGCUAUUUGACCUUGCACUUUUUACCGUUAUUUUGCCGCAAUAGCCUCAAAUAAGCCUUAGCGAUGCCUCACCGCUACGCGACGCUAUCCGCUAUCGAUAACCUUGCACACAGUUAACCAGCUUAAUUGCAAUUUUAUGCCCACAAUUUGUGCAGCAGACUUCGACAUAUCCCGUACACAGACUAAUGGUCAAAAGUUUAUUGGGUCCCAUGAACUAGACUGGAUAUGGGGUUCGCUGAUAGUGGAGAGAAUCUUAACAUUUGUUUCGGCUUCUACUUGAUUGAACUUCAUGGAAGUUCUUCAUGGAAAGGGGAAUCUCUCAAGCUCUUCUGUUCUCUACUUUUUAUCCAAAAUCUCUUCUCAUAGAUUGUUGAACCUUAAUGAAAGAACCACUGAAGUGAAGUGCAUGCAUCUUUAGUUGUGGAUCGGUAGCUGCCAAGGAGUUCAAACCUGAUGAGUUUCCUUGUUAGGGGUUCUGCUCGAGCUCUGCAGAACUGUUCUUUGAUUCUGAGUUUGCUAUUUCCAAAGAUUUGCAACCUGCAGCUGCUUUAGCCUCAAUCAAAGUAGUUGAGGUACUUAAAAUUAUGAGAACGGGAGUUAGUUCUUUAUUGAGCCGUAUAGUAGUAAAAUGUUACUAAUUUUGUACUUACUUUUGGUGAAUCGUUUACGAUUAACCAGUUGUUAUUUACUGUAUUGGUUGCUGCGCUCUAACAUCAAGAUCUGGUUAAUUAUAUUGUACAACCAUAUGAUUAGGAACUAUGAAGUUUAUGAAGAAGCUUUGAUCGCAAUUAGCUAA